GGAGUUUAGCUCAGUUGGUAGAGCAUUCAACUUACACUUGAAUGGCCAAAGGUUCGAGCCCUUUAACUCCU
rnacentral:tRNA from 1 species